UACGGAGGAUCCGAGCGUUAUCCGGAUUUAUUGGGUUUAAAGGGUGCGCAGGCGGGAGAUUAAGUCGGUGGUGAAAUUUUGCAGCUCAACUGUAAAAGUGCCAUUGAUACUGGUUUUCUUGAGUGUGGAUGAAGUAGGCGGAAUUUGUGGUGUAGCGGUGAAAUGCAUAGAUAUCACGAGGAACUCCGAUUGCGCAGGCAGCUUACUAAACCAUAACUGACGCUCAGGCACGAAGGCGUGGGGAUCAAACAGGAUUAGAUA
rnacentral:rRNA from 1 species